rnacentral:rRNA from 1 species
UACAGAGGUCUCAAGCGUUGUUCGGAUUCAUUGGGCGUAAAGGGUGCGUAGGCGGCGCGGUAAGUCGGGUGUGAAAUCUCGGAGCUUAACUCCGAAACUGCAUUCGAUACUGCCGUGCUUGAGGACUGGAGAGGAGACUGGAAUUUACGGUGUAGCGGUGAAAUGCGUAGAUAUCGAUAAGGAAGACCAGGUGGACGGAAGG